AGAGUUUGAUCAUGGCUCAGAAUGAACGCUGGCGGCGUGCUUCAGACAUGCAAGUCGUACGAGAAAACCCUUUCGGGGGUUAGUAAAGUGGCGCACGGGUGAGUAAUACUUAGGUAAUGUACCUUCACGCUGGGGAUAACCAGGCGAAAGCUUGGCUAAUACCGAAUGAGCCCUAUCUUUCAAAGAGAGAUCGGGCAAAGCCGUAAGGCGCGAGAAGAGCAGCCUGAGUCCCAUUAGUUAGUUGGUGAGGUAAUGGCUCACCAAGACUAGGAUGGGUAGCUGGUCUGAGAGGAUGAUCAGCCACACUGGUACUGCAACACGGACCAGACUCCUACGGGAGGCAGCAGUUAGGAAUUUUGCGCAAUGGGGGAAACCCUGACGCAGCAACGCCGCGUGAGUGAUGAAGGCCUUCGGGUUGUAAAGCUCUUUUGCCAGGGAAGAAUAAAAUGACGGUACCUGGUGAAUAAGCACCGGCUAACUCUGUGCCAGCAGCCGCGGUAAUACAGAGGGUGCAAGCGUUAUUCGGAAUUAUUGGGCGUAAAGCGCACGUAGGCGGUCUUUCAAGUCUGGUGUGAAAUCCCUGAACUCAAUUCAGGAAGUGCAUUGGAUACUGUUAGACUGGAGAAUGGGAGAGGAGAGCGGAAUUCCUGGUGUAGAGGUGAAAUUCGUAGAUAUCAGGAGGAACAACAGAGGCGAAGGCGGCUCUCUGGACCAUUUCUGACGCUGAGGUGCGAAAGCGUGGGGAGCAAACAGGAUUAGAUACCCCAGUAGUCC
rnacentral:rRNA from 1 species